rnacentral:tRNA from 1 species
GUUCCUGUAGUGUAGUGGUUAUCAUGUUUGCUUUACAUGCAAAAGGUAUCUGGUUCAAAACCAGACAGAAAUG